AAAACCUAACUCCAAAUAGUGAUGUUAUUGAGCGAUAAAAUCACUGUUUGGGAUAUAUUAUUUCUUAACCUUUAUCUAGUUUGCUUGUCAUUUUUUGCAGAGUGAAGUGAAAACAGUUUAUCAUUUCCAAUAUAAGAAAUGGGCGGAAUCUAACACUGUUCCUGACACUGUUGAAUAUUUUGUUCAUUUUAUCAAAGAUGUUGAAAAACGUGUAAAUAAUCAUACGUCAAAUAACAAUACACAUGUAGUUGUUCACUGCUUGACUGGGUAUGAGAGAUCUGGAUUAUUUUGUACCUUGUAUUCACUCCUUGAGAAGUUAGAGGCUGAGCGACAAGUCAGUGUGGUCAAUAUGAUUAGAAAAAUUAGGACACACCGCCGACAAGCUAUAACAGGGGUGGAGCAACUGAAGUUCUGUUUCCGGUGUGUAUCUGCCUAUUUAGAGAUAUAUAACACAUACUCAAACUUCGCAACAUGAUUGUUUCAGAUAUAUAUCUGCCCAUUUAGAGACAUAUAACAUGUACUUAAACUACGCAACAUGAUUGUUUCUGGUUAAGAGAUAUAUAACAUUUACUCAAAUUUCGCUACAUAAAUUUGUCCGGUGUAUAUCUGCCCAGUUAGAGAUAUAUAUCAUAUUUUAUCAAACAACGCUACAUAACUGUUUCCGAAGUAUUUGUAUACAGAGAUGAAUUGCACAUACCAAACUACGCUACAUGACUGGCUUCGGUGUAAAUAAUUUAUGUAUAUAGAAAUACAAACACACGUCACACGACAGCUCCUAGUGUAAACCAUGUGUUGUUUUUUUUUAUAGAAAUGUAUGCAAAACCAAUACUUAAAGUACACUACAUGACUGUUUCUUCUGUAUAUUUGCUUAUAAAUAGAGAUAUAUUUCACAAACUCAAACUAUGCAACAAACAAAUUCUAAGAACGUGUGUAAUAGACAUAUAAUGUAAUGCAUGUGAAUUUAUUUUGAAUCGCAAAAAUAAAAAAUGACCCAACGGAAUGAAAAUAUAUAAUUGUAAACGGAACUACUUUACUAACAAUACCAUAUUAUAGUUUAGUGUUAAAAUAACUAUUUGAAGAAUCAUUGUUGAAAUACAUUGAUCUAAUUUUUGCAUGGCUAUUAUGGAUUUUAUUACAACGGAUAACUCACAUAACGUAAAACUUACAAAAUGGAUUACUCGCUGUAUAUAUUUUAGCUCGUGAUGUCUCAAGUUAAACAUCAUCAAGAUACUUUUUUUAAUUAUCUUAUUGUAAUUCAUUUUUAUUUUGUUUAUAUAUUGGUUGUAGUUUAUCAUCAAGUUAUAUUCCUUCUAACACUCGUAUUUUAGUUGUUAUAUUUCUAUUCAAUGUGAUUUGUUCAAAUACAUAAACAUUUUAAUAUACGUAGUUUUUUUUAUACAUUCUGUGUUAUAUAUAUGCAUGUUAUAAAAAAAAAUCUGUAUAUUUUGAAUUAUUCAUUUGUGUUUUGCAUGGUAUUGAUAAAACAAAAUAUCAAACAGGAAUAAGUUAACAUAUUUUAUUUUAUUUUACUCUUCACUGAACAUUUUUUAAAUAAAAUAAAGUUCUUAGAGAGAAAGAUUAAGAGCUGAAGCAAAUUCUCAUUCUUGCGUGCUCUCCUAACUUAGUUCAAUGUUUGUGGUUCUGUAUUGUGGAAGUUUAAAAGCGACUGCGUUCAUUGAAUGCCAUUCUUCCUUUCUUCUACCUAGUGUUUGCUGUGCUCAUUAUUAUGUAUUUUCAUAGCAUGGGUUCCAGUCAGUCAAUGUUCAUCUAAAUUAAAAAAAAACCUGACAGGCUCACGAACGGGCACGUAUGUUAUGCAUAAGCAAAACAUAUCGACGCCUAACUCACAGGAUAGAAUUUUCAAUGUGUUUACGAUUUUUUUUCAAGCUUUAUUUUUCCUUAAAAUAUGCAAAUGGUAAUCAAAUACCAAUCGAAAAUGCAUUUUGUAGUUGCCAGAAGAAGUAUGAAUGACCAAAAUUAGUUAAACACAUAUACACAUUCAUUGAUAUAAAAGAGGGCUCGGCUAUGGUAAGAACACAAGUAUAUAAAUUUGCAAAAAGACAAGCAA